rnacentral:rRNA from 1 species
UACGAAGGGUGCAAGCGUUACUCGGAAUUACUGGGCGUAAAGCGUGCGCAGGCGGUUUUGUAAGACCGAUGUGAAAUCCCCGGGCUUAACCUGGGAACUGCAUUGGUGACUGCAAGGCUUGAGUGUGUCAGAGGGAGGUGGAAUUCCGCGUGUAGCAGUGAAAUGCGUAGAUAUGCGGAGGAACACCGAUGGCGAAGGCAGCCUCCUGGGAUAACACUGACGCUCAUGCACGAAAGCGUGGGGAGCAAACAGG